rnacentral:tRNA from 1 species
GAGGUUGUGGCUCAGUGGUAGAGUGCUUGCCUAGCAAGUGUGAGAUACUGGGUUCAAUUCUCAGCACCACA